GAUAGAAUUGCUGGGCCUUAUGGUAAGUAUAUGUUUAAAUUUACAAGAAACUGACAAAUUGUUUUCCAAAUUGACUGUACCAUUUUGCCUUCCCACCAGCAAU
rnacentral:pre_miRNA from 1 species